rnacentral:tRNA from 1 species
GUGAUGGUGGCUCAGUGGUAGAGUGCUUGCCUUGCAUGCAUGAGGCCUUGGGUUCCAUUCCUCAGCACCACA